rnacentral:snoRNA from 1 species
AAUCCGUGUUGUGGGCAUUGGCGAAGUAAACCCUUCUAUCAUUCCCAAGCUUUAGAGUAGCAUUUUAAGUCCAAUUGUUGGAAAGUAGUAAUCUCAUCCACUAGCUU